GGGGGCCUACGGGACGCAGCAGUGAGGAAUAUUGGUCAAUGGUCGGGAGACUGAACCAGCCAAGCCGCGUGAGGGAUGAAGGUACAGAGUAUCGUAAACCUCUUUUGUCAGGGAACAAAGGCGGGGACGUGUCCCCGGAUGAGUGUACCUGAAGAAAAAGCAUCGGCUAACUCCGUGCCAGCAGCCGCGGUAAUACGGAUGAUGCGAGCGUUAUCCGGAUUUAUUGGGUUUAAAGGGUGCGCAGGCGGUCUGUUUA
rnacentral:rRNA from 1 species